GCUAACUCCGUGCCAGCAGCCGCGGUAAUACGGAGGAUCCAAGCGUUGUCCGGAUUUAUUGGGUUUAAAGGGUGCGUAGGCGGAUCUUUAAGUCAGUGGUGAAAGCCUGCAGCUUAACUGUAGAACAGCCAUUGAAACUGAAGAUCUUGAAUUUGGUUAAAGUAGGCGGAAUGUAUCAUGUAGCGGUGAAAUGCUUAGAUAUGAUACAGAACACCGAUAGCGAAGGCAGCUUGCUGAACCAAUAUUGACGCUGAGGCACGAAAGCGUGGGGAGCGAACAGGAUUAGAUACCCUAGUAGUC
rnacentral:rRNA from 1 species